rnacentral:rRNA from 1 species
GAUGAACGCUGGCGGCGUGCCUAAUACAUGCAAGUCGAGCGAACAGACGAGGAGCUUGCUCCUCUGACGUUAGCGGCGGACGGGUGAGUAACACGUGGAUAACCUACCUAUAAGACUGGGAUAACUUCGGGAAACCGGCGCUAAUACCGGAUAAUAUCUUGAACCGCAUGGUUCAAUAGUGAAAGACGGUUUUGCUGUCACUUCUAGCUGGAUCCGCGCCGCAUUAGCUAGUUGGUAAGGUAACGGCUUACCAAGGCGACGAUGCGUAGCCGACCUGAGAGGGGGAUAGGCGACACUGGAGCUGGGACACGGUCCAGGCUCCUACGGGAGGCAGCAGUAGGGAAUCUUCCGCAGUGGGCGAAAGCCUGACGGAGCAACGCCGCGUGAGUGAUGAAGGUCUUCGGAUCGUAAAACUCUGUUAUUAGGGAAGAACAAAUGUGUAAGUAACUAUGCACGUCUUGACGGUACCGAAUCAGAAAGCCACGGCUAACUACGUG